AUUGAACGCUGGCGGCAGGCUUAACACAUGCAAGUCGAGCGGGGGAAGGUAGCUUGCUACCGGACCUAGCGGCGGACGGGUGAGUAAUGCUUAGGAAUCUGCCUAUUAGUGGGGGACAACAUCUCGAAAGGGAUGCUAAUACCGCAUACGUCCUACGGGAGAAGGCAGGGGAUCUUCGGACCUUGCGCUAAUAGAUGAGCCUAAGUCGGAUUAGCUAGUUGGUGGGGUAAAGGCCUACCAAGGCGACGAUCUGUAGCGGGUCUGAGAGGAUGAUCCGCCACACUGGGACUGAGACACGGCCCAGACUCCUACGGGAGGCAGCAGUGGGGAAUAUUGGACAAUGGGGGGAACCCUGAUCCAGCCAUGCCGCGUGUGUGAAGAGGGCCUUAUGGUUGUAAAGCACUUUAAGCGAGGAGGAGGCUACUUUAGUUAAUACCUAGAGAUAGUGGACGUUACUCGCAGAAUAAGCACCGGCUAACUCUGUGCCAGCCGCCGCCGUAA
rnacentral:rRNA from 1 species